rnacentral:lncRNA from 1 species
UGAGGCUGCACAGCGGUGGGGGACUCAGCCCAAGGUUAUGUCUUGGCCCUGAAUCACAGCUGCACCGUGAGUGGUGGAGGCAGCCCCCCACUGCCUGCAGCACAGCCCACGAGACACCACCGGGCAGGACAACUCACAGCAGGCGGUGGGGGGUGGGGGAAAGGCUUGGCUGCUGUACACCCACACGUGGGAGUGGCAGAGCCUGCAGAAAAGGUGCCGCCCACUUCUAGCCCAGGACGCGCAUGAAGAGCUGAGGGCACUGCCCCUCCGUGGUCCUGCCCCCCUGCCAGUCUCUGCUGCUCCAUUAUGACCCCACGGCUGGCCCUGGGCUUUCACAGUCUUGUUUCACACAGCUCGUGCCUUCACACAUCAUCCCUCAGGCCCUGCGCUGCUGUUCCUGGGCUGAACGUGGGCUUUCAUGCACUGCAUGAGGACAGGCGGGAGUUCCGCCUCGGCAGUGCUGUCACCUCCAUCCACGGAGUAAGCUUGUGCCACUGUCUGGAUGUUUUACUAAAUUGUGACUUUUCUGGUGACAAUCACUGGAAAACAAAGAAAGGUGUGCUGAGGUGGGCCAGUGGCAAAUCGAGGCGCAAGGGCUGCCCCUAGCGAAUGUCUGGACAGAACCAGGUGCUGCAGGGUGGACCCUGGCCAAAUGCAGGCUCAACUGUGAAAAACAACAACAAUAAAGAACAGGAAAUGCUACAAGUAUGGCUUCAAGUUUAUGUCUAGAAAGGUGAAGUGAUGGAAGAAAUUGCAAUUUUAAAAUCAGGGACCACUCAUCAGCCCCCAGACAGAAGGGCCCGGGGCUGCCUGGAGAGAGGGUGAGGCAGUGGCGGGCAGCCCCGGGGCAAUAUUUCUUGGCAAAGUUUUCAAAGAAGUCCCCUAAGGAACACCACAGGCAUGAGGACAGCCCCGGCCACGUUCCUUUGCAGGAUCAGCUCCAGCAAGUCCACCUGCGAGAACCAAGGCGGCCGCUGCAGACUGAGCUGAGCCCUGCGAGGUAAACCGUGAGAACGGCAGCUGCGGUAAGAGAAGCGAUUCCUACCGCCUGUAUUUCACAUGUAGCCUGCAGCUGGACGUGUGAAGCCCUCAUGCGCAUAUCACAUAGCACAUACAGGGAAUGCAGCACCAGUGCCAUAAUUCCAUUCAUGAUUUUACGAUUUGAAAUUUCUGGGAAUGAAACCAACUUAGAACAUGCACGCUACUACAAGAUUUUUGCAUAUCUGAUUUCAGCACGAGUUUCUGGAGCAUAGUCAGCUCCCGGAGGGGACAGUCAGUUCCCGGUAGAGCGGACAGUCAGCUCCCGGAGGGGAGAGUCAGCUCCCGGAGGGGAGCGUCAGCUCAUAGAGGGGACAGUCAGCUCCCAGAAGGGUAGUCAGCUCCCAGAGGGGACAGUCAACUCCCGGAGGGGACAGUCAGCUCCCGGAGGGGAGAGUCAGCUCCCAGAAGGGAUAGUCAGCUCAUAGAGGGGACAGUCAGCUCCCGGAGGGGAAAGUCAGCUCCCGGAGGGGACAGUCAGCUCCCGGACGGGACAGUCAGCUCCCAGAGGGGAUAGUCAGCUCAUAGAGGGGACAGUCAGCUCCCGGAGGGGAAAGUCAGCUCCCGGAGGGGAAAGUCAGCUCCCAGAGGGGAUAGUCAGCUCAUAGAGGGGACAGUCAGCUCCCAGCAGAGGGGACAGUCAGCUCCCGGCAGAGGGGACAGUCAGCUCCCAGAGGGGAAAGUCAGCUCCCGGAGGGGACAGUCAACUCACAGAGGGGACAGCCAGCUCCCAGCAGAGGGGAUAGUCAGCUCCUGGCAGAGGGGACAGUCAGCUCCCGGAGGGGACAGUCAGCUGCCGGAGGGGACAGUCAGCUCCAGGCAGAGGGGACAGUCAGCUCCCAGAGGGGAAAGUCAGCUCCCGGAAGGGACAGUCAGCUCCCGGAGGGAACAGUCAGCUCCUGGAGGGGACAGUCAGCUCCCGGAGGGGACAGUCAACUCACAGAGGGGACAGCCAGCUCCCAGCAGAGGGGACAGUCAGCUCCUGGCAGAGGGGACAGUCAGCUCCCAGAGGGAACAGUCAGCUCCUGGAGGGGACAGUCAGCUCCCGGCAGAGGGGACAGUCAGCUCCCGGAGGGGAUAGUCAGCUCCCGGAAGGGACAGUCAACUCACAGAGAGGACAGCCAGCUCCCAGCAGAGGGGACAGUCAGCUCCUGGCAGAGGGGACAGUCAGCUCCCGGAGGGGACAGUCAGCUGCCAGAGGGGACAGUCAGCUCCCGGAGGGGAAAGUCAGCUCCCGGAAGGGAUAGUCAGCUCCCGGAGGGGAAAGUCAGCUCCCGGAGGGGACAGUCAACUCACAGAGGGGACAGCCAGCUCCCAGCAGAGGGGACAGUCAGCUCCUGGCAGAGGGGACAGUCAGCUCCUGGAGGGGACAGUCAGCUCCCGGCAGAGGGGACAGUCAGCUCCCGGAGGGGAUAGUCAGCUCCCAGAGGGGACAGUCAAUCCGGGACAGCCAUGAAUGCCAUGACUUCCAGAAGGACAUGGGCACCCUCUGUCCAGCAGCCCAGGCAUCCUGGCAUCUGGAGGGCCCAGGGGAGGCGCCUGGGAGGCUGCUGUGAAGGCAGGGACGCCUCACCUGAAAUAAAGUCUCUGUGUGCAGCCCGGCAGUGCCUCAGCUCCGCCUGCAGUGAAGGUGAGGAUUCUCCUGCUUCACGUGGUGGUCGGCUGCUGUUAACUCGGUUAACUCGAGUGAGAUAACAAAGUUCUUUGACACUUUUUAGGUAAAUGCAAACUAAAAGAUUAGAACUAACCCCAUAAGCCUCUUUUCCAACCCUGUGUGGUCCCGGCUGGCGGGAGAGACCUGGGCUCUG